GAUGAACGCCGGCGGCGUGCUUAACACAUGCAAGUCGAACGAAGCACUUUUAAUCGAUUUCCUCGGAAUGAAGUUAUUUGUGACUGAGUGGCGGACGGGUGAGUAACGCGUGGGUAACCUGCCUCAUACAGGGGGAUAACAGUUGGAAACGACUGCUAAUACCGCAUAAGCGCACAGUACCGCAUGGUACGGUGACCAAAGAUUUAUCGCUGAGAGAUGGGCUCGCGUCCGAUUAGGUAGAUGGUGGGGUAACGGCCUACCAUGCCGACGAUCGGUAGCCGGACUGAGAGGUUGAUCGGCCACAUUGGGACUGAGACACGGCCCAGACUCCUACGGGAGGCAGCAGUGGGGGAUAUUGCACAAUGGGCGCAAGCCUGAUGCAGCAACGCCGCGUGCGGGAAGACGGCCUUCGGGUUGUAAACCGCUGUCCUUGGGGAAGAAACAAAUGACGGUACCCAAGAAGGAAGCCACGGCUAACUACGUGCCAGCCGCCGCGGUAAUAC
rnacentral:rRNA from 1 species